AGGACGAACGCUGGCGGCGCGCUUAACACAUGCAAGUCGAACGUGAAGCUGGAGCUUGCUCCGGUGGAAAGUGGCGAACGGGUGCGUAACACGUGAGCAACCUGCCCCGAAGACUGGGAUAACACCGGGAAACCGGUGCUAAUACCGGAUACCUUCUUCCGAUCGCAUGGUUGGACGAAGAAAUGGAUUCCGCUUCGGGAUGGGCUCGCGGCCUAUCAGCUUGUUGGUGAGGUAACGGCCCACCAAGGCGACGACGGGUAGCUGGUCUGAGAGGACGACCAGCCACACUGGGACUGAGACACGGCCCAGACUCCUACGGGAGGCAGCAGUGGGGAAUCUUGCUCAAUGGGCGAAAGCCUGAAGCAGCGACGCCGCGUGCGGGAUGAAGGCCUUCGGGUUGUAAACCGCUUUCAGCAGGGACGAAAUUGACGGUACCUGCAGAAGAAGGCUCGGCCAACUACGUGCCAGCAGCCGCGGUAA
rnacentral:rRNA from 1 species